AAGCGACCUCGCGAGAGCAAGCGGACCUCAUAAAGUGCGUCGUAGUCCGGAUUGGAGUCUGCAACUCGACUCCAUGAAGUCGGAAUCGCUAGUAAUCGUGGAUCAGAAUGCCACGGUGAAUACGUUCCCGGGCCUUGUACACACCGCCCGUCACACCAUGGGAGUGGGUUGCAAAAGAAGUAGGUAGCUUAACCUUCGGGAGGGCGCUUACCACUUUGUGAUUCAUGACUGGGGUGAAGUCGUAACAAGGUAACCGUAGGGGAACCUGC
rnacentral:rRNA from 3 species